CCUACGGGUGGCAGCAGUGGGGAAUAUUGGGCAAUGGGCGCAAGCCUGACCCAGCAACGCCGCGUGAAGGAAGAAGGCUCUCGGGUUGUAAACUUCUUUUUUCAGGGACGCAGCAAGUGACGGUACCUGAGGAAUAAGCCACGGCUAACUACGUGCCAGCAGCCGCGGUAAUACGUAGGUGGCAAGCGUUCUCAGGAUUUACUGGGUGUAAAGGGCGUGUAGGCGGGAAAGCAAGUCAGAUGUGAAAACCAUGGGCUCAACCUGUGGCCUGCAGUUGAAACUGUUUUUCUUGAGUACUGGGGAGGCAGACGGAAUUCCUGGUGUAGCGGUGAAAUGCGUAGAUAUUAGGAAGAACACCAGUGGCGAAGGCGGUCUGCUGGACAGCAACUGACGCUGAGGCGCGAAAGCGUGGGGAUCAAACAGGAUUAGAUACCCCUGUAGUC
rnacentral:rRNA from 1 species